rnacentral:rRNA from 1 species
GAUGAACGCUAGCGGCAGGCUUAAUACAUGCAAGUCGAGGGGCAGCAGUCCCGCAGCAAUGCGGGAGCUGGCGACCGGCAAACGGGUGCGGAACACGUACAGAACCUUCCUUCGAGCGGGGAAUAGCCCAGAGAAAUUUGGAUUAAUACCCCAUAGCAUUACGAAGUGGCAUCACUUUGUAAUUAAAGAUUUAUCACUCGAAGAUGGCUGUGCGGCUGANAGGUUAGUUGGCGGAGUAACGGCCCACCAAGCCUUCGAUCAGUAACUGGUGUGAGAGCACGACC